CUCAGGUAAACAAAUAUCUGACCAGGAGCUUCAGGGUAUGGUAGCACUUUAAACAGAGUAUGUAAUCUAAUAUAAAACCUUUCCUUCAUGUUUUAUGUUUAGUAUUCAUCCAAACUAUUUCAGCUUAUGAAGUUUAAGAAACCAAUGUUAUUCAGUUCCUUCUUAAAGACUUUUGUGUAAAAGUUUAGAUUUUGCAAAACGGGAAGAAAAUGUUUAUUUUUGUUGUCUCAGACCUCAAAGACAGCCAAGGGGGUUCCUCUUGCAGCUUCACUGUGAGUCAUCCUUUAUCAGUGGUGCUGAGGAGACACCCAGCUGCUUGAAGCCUGAAGUAUGAACUGUAUAUUGUUUAUAUGUUCACAGACUUCAGUAGAAUUGUAUCUAAACUAAUGAAUUGAAGAAAUAUCUGUGGUGUGACUACUGCGAGCACAGUGAAUGUCCGCACACAAUGCUUCUCACCCUUCCUUACUUCACAUUCAACUUAAAAGUUAGUCAACCUCUUCUUGUCUCACACCCAGAGAUAAGUAUUAAGCUACGGAUCCUGCUUAAUUAAGAAAUUUCAAGGCUUCUUUUUUUUAUUGUCUUUUGUUCUUCAAAGCCUGAGAUGAAAGCUUCCAGCACCAGCUGCCUGCUGUGCUCAGUCCCGGUACCUGCGUGGUGAUGACAGGGCUACGUGCGGCCCAGAGCCGCAGUGCUUAUGUCGACAUCCUACCAGAAGAAAUAGCAAAGUGGGAUGAGAUCUAGUGCCUUCAGCACAGCUGUGGAACUACUUUUGGGUGAAAUCCUGGCUUGUUUGGUCUGGGAAAAGUCUCUGUGUUGUCAGAGAGGCCACCAUGAUGUGAAUGUCAGUGAAGAGCAGGCCUGCAGCCCAGUGUGUCAUUUGCUUUCUGACAAGACGUGAGACCCAGGAGCCUCUCACUCGUCGGCCCAUUUGUCAGUGCUGUGGUAACUCCCAGGAGCUAUGACCCAAGUGCCUCUUAACCCAGGGACUCUAUAAAGACAGGCUGGGAGGAGGGAUCCUGCUCCGGAAAGCUUUCUCUCUUUAACAAGCUGAUAUUUGAGCUGAUCUGUUUUACUUAAAUCAGGCUAAUAAAAUGUACAGCUGUACCUGUUUUUCUGGCUGU
rnacentral:lncRNA from 1 species